UGAGACAACCACCCAAACUGAUGAAGGUGAGAUCGACGGCAGCCGGAGCCUUCGCUCGACCGGGAGCAUUUUCCAAAGAAGAAAAGCUAUCCCCUUCCAAGACCAAUCUCUCGCUCUGCCGGCCCUUCUAUCCUGGCGGCGGCGCCCCCUCCCUCCUGACGGUGUCGCAGGCGCAACUCUCCUAUUCCUGACAACCCCCCUGACCGACCCACACCCCGUUUUGAUGAGUAUAUAUACACAUGGAGCUAAGCUAUGCAUAGAGGAAGCUUCGGAGUUUCUUUCUGAAAUGGAAACGGAAGGUGUCAGGCUGAAUGCUGCAACCUAUGUACUUACCUCUAUGGGCUUUGCCGUGCUAGACAGGUGACAUCUGCAUGGAACUUUCUUCAAAUGCUUCUUCAGAGAGGCUACCCUUGCAAUAGUUAUUGUUUUAAUGCAGUUCUUCAUGGUUUCUGUCACAAGGGUCAAGUUCACAAAGCCAUAGAAGUGCUUGAUGGGAUGAAGAAGUAUGGGUUUGUCCCAGAUAUUCACAGCCGCAACAUAUUUGUUGAAGGGUUAUGCAAACGAGGGUAUUUCUUGACUUGCUAUGACGUGCUUGAUGAAAUGGCAAGGAAUGAGAUCGCUCCUACCCUUGUGAGUUGGAUUUUGCUUUUACAUGGUCUUUGCAGAGCUGGAAAUGUUUACUUGGCAUUUGGGCUUUUCAGUUGGCUCAAAGACAAAGGUUUCAAGCAUGACAGUAUAGUUUACAUUAUCUUUCUUCAUGGUUGCUGCCAACAUCUAGAUCUAGAGAUAUGCUAUGACCUUUGGAAUGACAUGGUUCAUCAUAAUUUUGUUCUGAAUGUUCUUACAGUAGUUUGAUAUAUGCAUAAUGUAGGCACAAUCAUCUUAAAGAAGCAUUCGGGGUAUUUGAGCUUAUGCUUGAGAAUGGGACAAGUCCCAACAUUGUGACCUGCACAAUUCUUGUUGAUGGCUACAUCAAUGAAGGGCUAAUUGGUGAAACUUUCCUAUUCCUGGAUAAAGUAAAGUAGUUUUGGAUUGUCCCCUACCAUUGUACAUACAGAGUUAUCAUCAAUGGCCUGUGCAAGGUCAAGAAAUGUCAUGAUGUGUGGGGAUUUCUUGCAGACAUGAUAAGAAAGGAGCUAUUUUCCUGAUACUGUGCUUUACAGUAUUAUUAUUGAUGGUUUGUGAAAGCUUUGAAUCUGCAGGCUCUGAGGCUUUAUUGUAAAAUGUACAAUGUGCGGACAGAUCCUAAUAUCUUUACAUAUUCUAGCCUCAUAAAUGGUUUGUGUCAUGACAAUAGAUUUCCUGAGGUUAUGAAGUUGCUUAAGCAUAUGCCUGCAAAUGGGCUGACACUAUACAGGACUCUAUACAUCUCCAACUCGGUACUAUUGCAAGUGUUCAAACAUGAAGGCAGCUCUGGAAAUCUUUAGAGAGAUGGAAACAAGGAUUUAUCAGCAGAUUUUUUUGUGUGCACUUGUUUAAUUGGUGGCUUCAGUAAAGUCCUUGCGAUGGAUGAUGCAGAAUUGUUUAUGGAAGAAAGGCAGAAAAGGGAGCGUAAACCUACUGUAGUAAGUAGUAACUUUGUAAAUUGAUACUUCAAAAUUGAAGAUGAGAAAAUAGCCAAGGAGAUGUACAACAGUACACUUCAGGCAGGCAUUGCACCAGAUGCCAAAGCUGAGUUGUAUAUUGGGCUUUCAUAAUGAUGGAUAUGGUUUAGGUGAUACUCGGGAAGAAAAAGAUGUAUCAUACGUAUAGAGCUCUGUGAACUUUGUAAGAGUCAAGGCCGUCAUUUGAACUAAGGAGAGAAAGAAAUAAACCAGAUUUUUUCACGUUGGUGAUCUGAUGUGAUAAUUGCAGGGACUCCUUUUCUGCUGGGUAACAAGUCUGGCGAUUGAUUUCAACAUUGUUCUGCUUAAGGUUAGUUGGUCUGCUGGAAAACACAAAGCUAUUGAAUAUUUACUUUUGGAAGAACUCAGUAAGUUAGAUGAAGAGGUAAGAAUCAAUUUAUCACAUGAUAGAUAUUGUAAAAGAAAUAUUAUUAUAACGAGAUUUAUACUAAUAGAUGCUAUUUUAACUUUUGUACCUCUCAUCAUGAUUGACCUAAAGCUACCGAACACCAGCUUGUUAGCGUAAUGCUAUUUCUCCAAACUAGGAAUAUACUGGCUCUAAAACUGGCUUGCACCAUUAUUUAUUUUUUGUUCUGCUUUUAUUUUGAAAAUAAGCAUGGUGUAAGCUUUCGUAAGCUACUAUUGUACUGAGCAUUAUGUUAUAUUAUGAACUUCAAAUAAAUUCUAAUAAUUGUACCACAUUUUUAUUAGAGGCUUAUAUAGCUUCCUGCUUUACCUCUUUAUGGUGGUAUUAUUAUUGGACCUGUCAAUGUUAUGAAUAAUGCAUUUCCAUUUUUGAUGUUUCUUGUGAGAGCAGAUAACAUUAUCUCUUAAGGAUAAUAAGCCAUGAAACUAAGCUAGAUAAGCAUUCAUGUCUUAGGAUUUGUUACCUUCCCUUAUUUGAAGUCAGGAGAGAUAAGAAAAUGAUAUGUUAAGGUCUAUAGUUAAUUUCAAGUCCUGCAGUUAUAGCAUUAUCUAUGCAUGCUUCGAUAAGUUAGAAUGUUAGCUCUGAUCAUAUUUUCGGUUUCAGCAUUAGUAUUUCACACAUGGCGUAUUAACUGUAUUCCCAUGCAAAAAUAAAUAAACAUCUGUUUAUUUUUGAAGUACGUAAAAUUGGCAAUGUACAAUACUAUAGUUUGUCGAUCGUUUUUUUCUGACGCGUCUACUGCAAAAAGUUGAUUACAUAAUUAUGAUAAAAAUGUUAUAUGCCAUUGCCCUUCAGCUGAAAUUUGAGUGUGCCUAUGCUCAUUUACCUGUUACUAUUUUUUGUUUACGUACCUUUCCGUGCAAUCAUUGUGGAUAGAAAUAGGCAUGCAUACACCACUCCCACAAUCUGAACCUAAUUAAUUGUUGGAUGAGGGUUUUUUAUAGUGGGUUUUGUCUUAUGUCCAUGACACUCGUGAAAGAAGAUCUCUGCAGUAUGAUAAUAAAUCGAUCAAUAUAUCAUAUAUGUCAGACAUAUCAAAAUAAAUUUGGCGGUCAGUUCGACAGAAAAUGAUGAAUUAAGAGUUCUACCGCACAAGUCACAUGCUUACUCUAUAUGAAUGCUACUUUAUUCAUGUGACUUCCGAUAAAUACAUAUUAGUAAGACAUUUAUAAAUAAAGAAGAUAAGAUCAUCUCAAUGAAUAUAAUCCAUGGAAGCAUCAGCACCCUGUCUGAGUGACUGCAUGUUUCAUAAGUAUGAACCGGGGCGGGACGAUGAAAAAUCUGAGACUCUUUAACACCAGUAGGCACAGACACUGUGACACCAAGUAAUAUCUUCAAUCCAGUGUGGUCAUAACAUCGGUUGGUUCACAAUUUGUCUCCUCUUUUCACCCUCAGGUUCAACAUCACAUUUCCCUAUCUACCGGCCUUAAGUUGUCUCUCAUAGAUGCACCACUUUCUCUGCUUUUGAUAUCAUACCCACUUACCCUCCAAACCCUCUGUCUCCUUAUUCCACAUCCACUUCAGAUGAAAUCCCAUGGCCUCAACUUUUACCAACCGUCCUUGAUAACCUGGUGUUUAAACCGACAUUCUUCACACGUCCUUUCCCCAUUCUUUUUUUUUUCGAGAAAACGCAAAGGACUCUUUGCAUUUCAUUUCAUUGGAAAGAUAGAAGUUUUACAAUCGUCCCCUAAGAGGCAGGGUACAUGAGCAGGGAUUUAAUGUACAUCCCAGGUCGUCGGUAGCAAGAUGCGCAGGCCUAAGGCACCAGCUCUUGCCCACAGCCUAGCCUCGUCCGUGAUCAAGCCAAUCCUAGCGGUGACAGAAGGUUGGGCACCCUCGAAAACGCAGUCGUUCCGCUGCUUCCAUACCAUCCAGGGAAUGAGCAGGGCCAUGGAGGAAAGUCCUUUGCGCAUGGGUUUGGGAACAUGCUGUCUAGAGUCCUGCCACCAAUCGAGGAGAGUGGCGUCGCGGCUGGGUGCGGCACAGGGUAGCCGUAGCCAGGCGAUGAUCUCAUGCCAAACCUGCCUUGCGAAGGGGCAUCCAAUGAUCAGAUGGUGUAUGGUCUCGGGCUCCUGAUUGCACAAAGGGCAGGCGGUGUGGUGCGGUAAUCCUCGUCUGGCCAAGCGAUCGGCGGUCCAACAGCGGUCCAAGUCGGUGA